CAAAAGAGAAACAUUUUGAGCAGAAUAUUACAGAAGUCUUGAGGGAUACAUUUCUGAAUAUAACCUCUCCAUUGAUCUGAAAUCUAGCAAGGGAAUGGUAUGGUAGAAGGGAAAACCUAUCAUGGCAGCAGGCUUGCCAAGACAUAAAAGAGACCCUGUUUGGGAACAUUUUAAUGAAGUUCCUCUACCUGUGGAUAAGACAGGCAUUCAUGCAACAUGCAAACAGGGCGGCAAAGAAAUGCAAGACCUGAUUGCCCGAAUGAAACAGCAUCAUGAGAAGUGCUCCUUCUCAGGAGGAGGCUGCUUUGAAGAUGAUGAACGGAGCAUGUUUGAACAUGCAGGAUCUCCAGGAAGUAAUCAAACCCACACCAUAUACUGGGGAGGAAAUAGACAGAAAUGAAUGUGUGCCAUGGAAACUAGAAGUGAAAUUUCAGAAGGCAAGAAGGAUUUUUAAAUUGAUAAGAGUUAUUUGGAAAAAGAGCUAUCACUCCUCAGAAACUUGUUACUGUCGGCAAUUGGUUAACAUAACUGUACUCACUGUUUCACUUUUACUCAAGUACAUUUUAUAUUCUAACGUAAUAUUAAUAAAUAUAAUUAGUUAAUGCCAAUUGUCUUAUUAAUUAAUAUUAAGCCACUUCACUAUAGAAAAGCUGGAAGAUAAUGUCAGAUAGAAAAUAAAUCAAAUUCUAGUAAGUUUGCAUUUCUAUGAUGAAUGCUUUGAACAUGUUAUUAAUGUAGAAUUAAAAGAAUGACCAGGUUGUUAUUGUAAAAUGAAAACAGGCCAGAUCCUAAAUUCUUAUAACAGCAUAAUGCCUUUCAGGUCAGCUGAGCCACACUAGUUCACCAGAGCUCAUUUCUAAAUGGACCAGAGUAAGCUGUUCCAUAGUUUGCAGAUUGAUUGGGGUCCUCUCUCUAAAAGAAAUCAGUCCUGAGGCCUAAGGAUUUUGUGAAAUCGGAAUACCCAGAUGGGAAUCCUAGUUAAGCUAAACUCCUGAGAAUUUCUUUUCAUGAGCUACAGCACUUUCAGACCUUUGUAAAAGUGCCAUAGCCCAAGUCUGGGGCUAUAUCUUGCAACACUGAUUCUUGAAAUUGUUUCCUGAAGGUAAGGAAAUCCUCAUAUUUGUGAGAAUUUUUUGUUCUGUGGUUUCACACCCCUGAAGAGAUAAUUGGGUUUCCUAGACUUUAUCAGCACCUUUGAGAGCUCCUGAUUAGACAGAUCGCCGACACAGAAGAUGAUGUGACCUGGUGAACAAGGAAAAGAAUGAUUAAGCUUAACCCACCAGAGACUGAGAUAAUGUCAUUUUUCCUGUUUUUUUCUCUCUCUUCUCUUUCAUUUAUCUGUUUGUUUGACUUUGUUGCAGAAUUAAUUCCUGCAAUUGUAUUGUAUGGUUUGAAUGAAGGAAUGUUUAUUCUAAUUAAAUAGUGAAAGGAUUAAAUGUUUUUAAAUCUCCCCCCAACCCCUGCACAAAUGAAGCACGGUCGCAACAUCAAAUAAAAAUGCUGUAUUUGGAGUGA